rnacentral:rRNA from 1 species
UACGAAGGGGGCUAGCGUUGCUCGGAAUCACUGGGCGUAAAGGGUGCGUAGGCGGGUCUUUAAGUCAGGGGUGAAAUCCUGGAGCUCAACUCCAGAACUGCCUUUGAUACUGAGGAUCUUGAGUCCGGGAGAGGUGAGUGGAACUGCGAGUGUAGAGGUGAAAUUCGUAGAUAUUCGCAAGAACACCAGUGGCGAAGGCGGCUCACUGGCCCGGUACUGACGCUGAGGCACGAAAGCCAGGG